UGGGGAAUAUUGCACAAUGGGCGCAAGCCUGAUGCAGCCAUGCCGCGUGUGUGAAGAAGGCCUUCGGGUUGUAAAGCACUUUCAGCGGGGAGGAAGGCGGUGAGGUUAAUAACCUCAUCGAUUGACGUUACCCGCAGAAGAAGCACCGGCUAACUCCGUGCCAGCAGCCGCGGUAAUACGGAGGGUGCAAGCGUUAAUCGGAAUUACUGGGCGUAAAGCGCACGCAGGCGGUCUGUCAAGUCGGAUGUGAAAUCCCCGGGCUUAACCCGGGAAUGGAAUGUGUUACUGGGCAGCUAGAGUCUUGGAGAGGGGGGUAGAAAUACAUGUGUAGCGGUGAAAUGCGUAGAGAUGUGGAGGAAUACCGGUGGCGAAGGCGGCCCCCUGGACAAGAAAUGACGCUCAGGUGCGAAGGCGUGGGGAGCAAACAGG
rnacentral:rRNA from 1 species